rnacentral:lncRNA from 1 species
CUCUGCCUCUCCAUGUUUCAUAACAGCUUGUUCCUCGAGAUAAAAUGUUCAGACUCUCCUUACCACCACCUCUACCAACGAGAACAGAAUCAAAAGGUAAUACUCUUCUUUCUUUUUUUUUCUUGCGCUCAAGGUAAAAAUUUAAUAGAUGAACACAAUGUCAGGAACAUGAUGUGAUACUUUAAGCAGAAGAGAGCACAACCAUAACAUUGUCCUUUUUUUCUUCAAAGUCAAAAGGUUUGCUUUUUGCCAUCACAGUUUGCCAUGCAAACGUUAGCUACUUAGCAGUCAACUAAGCAAUUUUAUUUGUCUGGAAGGGAUUUUUAUUUUUUGUUAUAAUAAAAAAAAGAAAUUUGAAAUGAUGGUGGUACCUUAGAAAUAAUUUAGGAUAAAAAAAUUCCAGCUUUGAGAUUGAUUUUUUUUAUCAUAAACUUGUCUACCUGCUGUUUUGAAAUAUAUUAAAGGAUAAAAAAAGACUUCUGAAGCUUUUACAAAGGUCCAGACUCUCCUGAUUCAUAUCAUUACAAAAACGCAAAACCUAUCUGCAGCAUACUAUAAUUCUGCAACAUCACUGCUGAACAUAAAGACCUACCUGGUACAUGUACUGAUUCAACUCUUACCUGCUGCAUACCUGUGUUCUUACUUAAUGGCAUUUUACAUAGAAAGUCUACAGAAAUUGAGCUGCAGCAUUCACAGGGGCUUUAAAUCUAGACAUGCUCCUCCAAAGAUGAAGUUUCUUCCCUCUGCUUUUAUUGCUGACAAAGUUAACUACAACAGUCCUGCACUUUCUUGAAAAUGAAAGGGAAGGACUUCAAAUUUCAACACUUGAAACAUUUUUAGGUGAGAGUCCUGUUCCACUCCAGCUUUAAACCUGUUAAAAGGAAGUUUUUCCUUGUCACUGUAAUUUCCCAAAUGUUGAAAAGUGCUCUGCUUAUGAUGGAAAGGACAAAAAUAAUCUUAUCUUUUCUUGAUGCUGGGUCUUUGUAAAAUAUUUAAUCAUAGACUAAUGUCUAGUUUGUCUCUCAUUUUGAAGCGUCUUAAGACAACUGUUGUAGACUAGUGUUGUAUGAACAAAGAUAUGACAUUAAGGCUGGGCGAUAACAUAAUAACAAUAUAUAUAGAAAAUUAAUUUUCCUCAAUAUCAAUAUAAAACAUGGUCGAUAUGCUUUUCAUGCUUUUGAAAAAGCAUGACACAAACGUUGGUGGUGUGAAGAUAUUUUGUUUUUUUGAGGUCGGACAUGAAGCAGUGUAACAUGCACUGCAAUGAAUACCUCAAAUCUUUUUCACCACCUGAAGCAGAGCCAUGCAGCAGAGCACGCACAAUGCAAAAGUUUACAAACCCCGAGAGGAGCAAAGCGCCCAUGGUGCCUGUGCAGCCGAAACAGCCGACCAUUUAGUCUGCUUUCUCUAGCGCAACACCUCGUGACAAAAUUUCGCAGAGACACAAAGACCUCAUAAGCUGCGUUUCCAUUACCCAUAGAUUUGCGCAAAACGUAAAUAUCGCAAUAGAAAACUGGUAAUGGAAACACCUACAUUUCGAAAAACCUCCCAAAUAUCGCUAAAAAGUUUUUACGCUCUCAUGAGGUGGUUUUUCAGAAGUGUCGAUAUAGAAGUAUAUCGCAAAAGUGUAAUGGAAACACUUUUCUCGCAAUUCUCUGUCACCGGACGUGACGUAGCGGGUCAAGUGACCAGUUCAUUUCAAGCGUAGAUGGCACGGUAUAUGUGGACGGGGGAGGAGACGGACUUAUUUCUGACGUUUUGAAUUGUAUUUGUAUUUUUCUGAAGUUUUGAAUCCACAAUUCGUCUGUGAAUUCCUCAUUAACGAUCCUCUCCCAGAAAUCGCUCAUCCAUGUUCGCUCCCAUACAUACGAGCUUUGCCUUUGAAUUAUCACCCGCUGCCUUCGUCUUCUGAUGACAGCAGCGGCAACAGCAGUAAUGGUCACAGAAAUAGCUGCUCCAAAACGAAAAAUGUUUUGUGUCUCGUCCAUGUUGGUGUGCAAAAAGGCUUAAGGAAUACGAGGUCGCACGGGCAGGAAGUUUACCUCGUUGCUAGGCAACGGCCAUUUAAACACGGCUCGCGAGAGGCAGACGGCUCGCUUAUGCACUGAACACCAUUCAAUGGAAACACCCGCAAAUCGCAAUUGUACUUUGUCGAAAUUUGAUAAAGAUCGCUUUCAUUUUGCGAAAAAAUGUAAUGGAAACGCAGCUACAGAUUCAGUAUCUUAUUGUAUUGCAAAAGACAUGCUACCGAUAAGCACUGUUUGAUUUCAUUUUUUUAUAUCGUGAUAUAUAUCGAUGUCGACUGAUAUAAAAAAAAUAUAUGGUGAUAAACUCUUUCCCAUACCGCUGGGCCCUAUAUGACAUAUGGCUAAUUUAAAUCUUAUACCUACUGCGCACCUGGAUUUUCUUAUAAUCCUAAAUGUACCCAUACACAGCUGUUGGAAUAUAAAACCUUGCAUCUGUGACCCACCCUGAUUUAGAUUUAUACAUUUAGAUCUGUAUUUUGAUUUGAGAAAUGUCUGAGGCUCGCCGUUAGCACCCUCUUAGUUCACAGUGUUAGCUUACGUUUGCUGUUGUUCCAUUAGCUGCUGUUAGCUAGCUGUGUUUUGUAUUUAUAGAUAUGUUCCAUUUUGUUGCUAAGCUAGCAGCCAAGAGUCCGGUUGUAGUCAAUAUGGAUCACAGAUAGGCUGUGUGGUUGUUUAGGUUAACAAUGAAUUCAUCAUCAGUGAGUAGUUCUUAUGAUCUGGCUCAUGGUUGAGAGUCUGCAUAUGGUAACCAGAUGGUAUGUGCAAUUCUUGUGUUUGGCAUCCUGUUUAGGUCAAUCCUCUCUGUUAAGCUUGAGCAUGCUGGGCGCAGGCUCCUUCGAAAAUAAACCCGGCGCAUAUCUUUAGCAGAGAUAGAGCUGAGACACGCUGCGGCGCUGCCUGUGAAACUGGAGCGUUGACAAGAACGAGCACGAAUCAGCUGUGGAGUGUGCAGCGCUGGUGCAAUUCGGUGGGUUUUAGGGGUAUACUAAAUCAUCAAAGGAUAGACAGUUGGGCAGGCUGUCUUUGACAAAGCUUAAUUGUGCUAAAGGACAGCACAACCUGACGUCAGGUUGUGGCCAUGUCUUGAAAGGACAACCAACAAUGUUGCUAUGUAAGGGUUAAAGUACGGAUCGGCAUGAUGGGUCUCCCUUGAUCCAAAAAAACCUGCUGCGGUCUUUUAAAUCUAAACCUUCCCUGCUCCACAUCAUAUCUCCAAUUGGAAACCUACAUAAUGCACAUCCUGAUUUAAAUCUAAGCCCUCUGGCUUUACUCACUGAUAUAGUGGUAUUAUUAGAGAAUUUAUGCUGCUUUCUGUCUUCUCAUUUAUUACCUUAAAGUAUGCUUCCUCGUGUUAUAUGUUAAUUAGCAAGCCAGGCUAAAGUCUCUACAGAGAGUAUGAGGGCAGGCAGCCGAACACACACUCAAAUAAACUCCUAAUUAAUUGUGUGUAUGUCUCCACUAAAAACACACACACUGGGGCUGUACAGCAGGCUAAUAACACUUGUUACAUGUUGCACAGUAGCAGCACACCUGAGGCUUGUAAGAGGUAUUUAACAUUUCUUUGAUGCAGAGGUGAAGUGAGGGCAAGCCGGACAACAACUUUGGACUGGUGAAAUCCAAUUAUGAGAGGUGGAGGGGAGCUUCCUGCUGCUCUUCCCUGGAAAGGAGUUCAUCUGUGGGGAUGAGCCGUUGAUUACCUGGCCACGGGACUGAUUCCCAGACAGGAGGGAAAGUCUGUUAGGGAUGUGGUAAUCUUUUUCUGGUUGUAAUAGGUAGAUGAAAACAAGCAGGGGAAGAUUUUCUGCCUAGCUGGUUUUGGUGUUUAUAUUUGUGUUGGGGUGUGUGUCCGUCUAUCCAGUGUCUCUCAUCAGUAUGCUCGGGCCAUGAGGCUACACUGACAGUGGGGGCUCUGAGAGCAGCAGCGCCAUGAAUUCUUUAGCAUGAGCUAGCAUGUACCCUCGCUUUUAUCACGCCUGGGAGGAUAAGUCCAGUCAACAGGAGACAAGGAGACACACAUACAGUACGCGCGUACAAACACACACGCAAGCAGAAAACCUUCUUUUGGCGCAUACAUCCCUGCCUGCCAGCCUACUCUGAGCUAACUGAGGGUCCCUCUGGCCUACAUGCAAACACAGUCUGCAUUUAACCAUCUCAUCAGCACACUCAACACACUUCCUUCUGACUCACAGAAGAGGAGCCAAACAUAACCACGUCCACACACACACACACACACACAUACACACACACACUCACACACACACACACACACACACACACACACACACACACACACACACACAUACACACACACACUCACACGGAAAAAAUCUGAGGGAAUUUUCAAUCUCUUCUUCUCCCUUUCUCCCUCUGUCCGCCUGUGGAGAACACUGGCAGGAAUCAGGGAGAAGAGCAGGGUUGCUAGGCGACAGGUUGUGGUUGCCAUGGUGAAUUUAAGUGGAACAGCUGGUCCAAUCAGCAUAAAGUGCGGGCCGGGCGGGGGCAGAGCCAGGGAGGCUCAUGCCAACACAGACAGACAGGAAGUAGAGGCUGCUGAGGCAUGCAGGAUAGAGAGGAGGGAAGGAGAGGAGAGGAGAUGUGAUGGGAGAAAAGAGGAGAGGAAGAGAGAGAAAGGGGGAGAAACGAGGAGAGGAGGAGAGGGGAGGAGCUAAGGAAACAGGAGAGGAGGAGAGGAGAAGUAAAAGAUGAGAGAAUAAGAGAGAGAGAAAGAGAGGGGGUACAGGAGGGGAGAGGAGAGGUGAGAAGAGGACAGGGGAGGAGAGGAGAGAUGAGGAAAGGAAAGGAGGAGACAGUAGAGGAGAGGACAGUGGAGUACAGUAGAGGAAAGACAAAACAAGGAAAGUAGAACAGCAGAGGAUAUGGGAGAGAAAAGGGGAGAAAAAGGGGUGAGGAAAAACAAGGGAAGGAAAGGUAGAUGAGAAGAAUAUAGGGGAGCAAGGAAGAUAGGAAAGAGGAGAGAAAGGAGGAGAUAAAAGAGAGGAGGAAAUGAAGGAGAUGCAAUCAGGAGAGAAGAGGAAGGAAUGAAACGAGAGGACGAGAAGAGGAAAAAAGUAGGCUAAUAAGUGAGACAGACAAAUUGAUAAGAUGACUUAAAAAGGGAGACGAGGAAAGAGAAAGGCUUAAAAAAAGAGAGCUGGUCAAAGGUUUUAUUGGCAGCAGAAACAGGAUAAAAGAAGAAAAUACGGCAUUGUCCCAAUCCCUUUUAUUUGUUUAUGCAGAAGUCGUUUCUCCCUUCAUCAAACCGACCUGAUUAAAUACCUCUUACAAAGCCUCUUUUCACCUAUAGCUGCCGUCAAACCCCGACAGGGAAAAAAUUAAAAGGCACAACACAGACUGGAUCACAAGAAAAUAAGGCAGACACCAUGACAGUUCGACGCAGCUAAUGACAGCGUGGUGAUAACAUGGUGAUAAUGAUAAUGGGCUGGGAAAGUGUGUGGGCGUCAAGAUUGGGAGGAUUUCACAGUCACAUCAUCAGUUGUGUGUAAUGGGGCGGUUUUAAACAAAAAUCUCAGAUGUGGUCGUGUUUAGUGUUAAAGUUUGCAGCCAAGUGAAAUCAACAGCUGUGAGAGAUGUUGGGGUGACAGUGGGACAAAGGUUGGAUUUUAAUGAUGCAAUCAACUGAGGACAACAGGGUGGUGUUAAAAUCAGAGGUGAGAACGACCCCGUCCCCUCUUAAGUGUUUUUAUCCCAAUUAAAGUCAUUGUAUAAUGGGUGAUAUAUUGGUUUAUUACCUUGCUUAGCUAAAUACUUGUCUCUGAUUGGUCAAACCUUGUCACAAAAUUCAUUAUUUCUAAACAGUUAAAGCAACACAAGAGACAACAUGUUCACACACAUCAUAUCAAAUCAAUCAGCAUACAGGAGUCUGGCACAAUUCGCCUCUGUUGACACAAGCUGCAUUUACAUGGGCACAAAUAAUCAGAAUAAAUGCCCGAUCAGAAUAAAAAUGCAUCAUGUAAACGAGUCGAUCGGAAGAUUCUGAUCCAAUUCGGCUCAAUCUGAAAAAAUUGUAUCGAGAGGGGUGGUUUAUGCCAAUUGUUAUUCUGAAUCGCGUACAUGUGAACAUUUAUUCCGAUCGUAACUCUGACCGUAACUCUGACCGGACUCGAUCGUCAUUCUUUAGCAUAAGACACAACCGCAGCUGCCAUGUCUGCUCCUCCGAUAAGCAACAUAUAUAUUAUUUCGAAGGAUGGUAGGGGAAAGUCCCGCCUCCUUCGCCUCUGAUUGGCUAGAAAAGCUGGAAAUGUCAUCACAAGCUCAAGCCAAACUCGGGCUGUUGGCUCUGUACAUCGAACAGAACAUUACAGAAAAUUAUUGUGCUUCUGAAUCUCCUAACCGUUACUCUAAUCCUAAUCCCAACCCUAAUUUACCCUAACCCUAGCACUAACCUGACAGACGAUGACGUUUCACAGCCAUAAGGAAUGACCAAUCGGAGCCCAUCACUUCUAGCCAAUCAGAGGCAAAGGAGGACAGGACUGUCCCCUACUAUCCAACAAAAAAAAAAAAUCGCCUUCAGCAACAUAACAAGGCGUACAUCGUAAUGAUGUCACAUCUGCACGUACAGUGCAACCUUUGACAGAACAGUAAGAUAAGUACGCAAGGGCGCCAUCUAGUGACAACAUUUAAGAGGGGGAAAACUCCUAUAUUGGAUGGAGCAAGCCACUUACGAGUUUGUUAGUUUGGCGGUAGCACAGGUGUGAAUACAACUCUUCUUCUGCAGUUAUUUAAGCAAAAUCAGACAACUUUGCGAAUGUCCAAAUGCUUUUAAUCUGAAUAAAGCUUGGCGCAUGUAUAUGCACAUCAUGAUCGGAUUAUUUGACUUUGCACCCAUAUUAACAGUGGAUUCAGAUUAUCCGAUCACUCACCUUUUUAAUCGGAUCAAGAAAUUUUGCCCAUGCUACUGAGGCAGAAACAUUUCCUUCAGUUCUGCUUUGGGAAACGUUCUGGCAAAAGUUUAAGUUUCCUUCUCUGGCCGGUCUUGACAGCCUGAAAACCAAGACCAAGUUUCCAGCUUCAGAUGUAAGAGAGACCCGAGGAGCUUCUGGGCCCAAACCAUCCCUGCUGAUAAGGGGAAGGGGAGUAAGUCUGUCCUGCAGAAAUAGAGAGCACAUUUCUGAGUUGCCUAUAACCACAAAGUAACUUUCACUGCGAGCAGCAUGAUAGUAGCAACAGUGUUGAAAAAUGUGACAUUAACAGUAUUGAUGUUUGAAAAUGAUGAGUCACCUCCAAGUCCUGAGAGGGGAGGCUGAACUGGAAAGGCUGCUUAUUUCCUGCAGGAGUCCCUUUCACCAAACAGAUAAUUACCUUCAGCUUUUAAAACAGAUAAUUAUUCAAUCAGUAAAAUCAGCUCGAAAUUAAUAUUUUGUGUUAGUUAGUCAAGUCGAGUUGACAGGUGGUUAUUCAAAUUGCAUAGACUCUUAUCACCCUGUUGAGAUUCCAAUUUGUCUAACCAUUCUUGUACUAUACAUUAUCCUCUCUAUGUGCUCACAGAUGUCAUUAUUUUCUGUUUGCUCUCAAACUGUCGAUAAGAGUGACAUAAUUAACACAGAAAAUAAGCUAAAAUGACUAUUAACUUAAAUAUACACAAACGAGUCUUAUAACUGCCCUGAAAGUUAAACUACAUAUCAGUCUGACCUGACAGGUGCUCCCCAGAGUCAGUUAUUUCUGAUUUUGCUUAUCAGCUGAGUGUUCAGGAAGAGGUCCGUUUCCAGGUUCACCGCUGGACAGCACUGCCUGCUGACUGAUACUAUAUCAGUUAUUGGUUUUUACACUAUCUCAGGCUGCUUCUGAGAUUGAACCCUGCAAAGAUACGCAUGCACACACGCGCAGUAACACACAUGCACACUCUCAAACACACAGAAAACAAGAUACAGAAUUUAGGGUUUGCUCGUUUUGAUGACAGGGCAGAUACAUUGAUUCACAGUGGUUCACAUGCAGACGACUUUGCAAUCUGUCCAUUGAUUAAAUGAAGAAAUCUUAGCUUUCCCCCUUUGAUCAGAAUCGCACCUGCAUAUAGAGUACGCAAAAAAGCAGCGCAUUGCUAUAUCUAGUUCUGCACAUAUUUAGGUAGGUGUAGGCUUCAUGCAUGGGGGACACGCACGUCUUCUCCAAAGAGGACACACUCUCAGAGUAUCUCGCAUGAGUGGGCACAGAGGGGAGCGAGAUGAAUCCAGGCUGCUGCUGUAAACCAUCAUGGCAGCCACUUAUUCUGCUCACAGCAAAAUUAUGUUGCUGCUACGGUCGUCAAAUGUUCAAGAUAUCCCCUCCAAGAAUGAGAAUUAGGAGGGAAAAGAUCAUCUCAGCACAUCUUUGAGUCUUUAAAUAUGUAUUUUCAUACAUUUCCAGGUUAAUGGUUCAUAUUUUUUUCUAGGUGGAGAAAGCAUGAGCGAGAUGAAGAGUGGUAAACUGACUGGAUGAAUAGAAAAUGUGUUUGAGCUCGUCCAGCUCACAAGAUGUCCAUUCACACAAAGCUCUCACUCUGUCACACCUUCCUCCUGUCACUCACACAAAGCAUGCUGGGAGGCAUGGUUUCCAGGGCAACCAAGAGGCACCUUUUCCUUGACGACGGUUCAGAAUGCGGCGAUGGGAGGACAUUAGCUUGCACCUCAGGUGUGGCAAAUAUUGGCGCCUAUAGCUCGACCAGGAGCAGAACAAAGCGGCCGUGACCACUUUGACAGAGAAGAGAAACAGAAUUUGAUUUAAAAAAAGCAGCGAGGAAACACAACUGAAUCAAAUGACAGCGGAGUUCACAUGUGCAAGGACCAGCAGAUGAUGUGAGAACUGGCACAACUGAAGAGCAAUUGUUCCUGAAUGAACUUUGUAGUUUCUGGUUUUGCAGCUAGUUAGGAGCCUCUGGAGCCUGCUGUGACAGAGGACCCACUGGGAGAGGAAACAGCACUCUGGGUAUCUCCUCUCUGUGAUAAAUGAACUAAGCUGCUUCACACUUAUAGUGUGAAUUAAAAUUUCACACACACAUACUCCCUCAAAAGACCCUCACACACUGUCCUAAAUAUGCAAUAACACACUCCUGAAAACCCCUCAAGGCUCUAAAAUACAUCUUCAAAGAAACCCUCAAUCUGCUUAACACAUUUUACACACACACACACACUCAAGCAUGGCUAUAACUGCACACACACGUGCACAAAAGAACACAUUCAGACCCAGAGCACACAGAUCAUUGCAAGAAACGGGCAGACUCUGUGAUAUCGUGUUGCUUUCAGUGAAGGCCAAACCCAUGAAAUUCAUAAAGAGGAGACAGAAGCAGAGAUGGGUGUGUCGUGGGCACGCAAAACACACCGGGUACACGGUGAAGACAACACACACACACCUCAAGAAAAACACACAAGCAAAAGGAAAGCAAGAGGGAGAAGAAAAUGGGAGCGUGGUGUCCUUAGGUGUGUGUGUGUGUUUGUGCAAAAAAGGAGACUGAGUGCAUAGAGAAUUGAGUGCAGUUAGUAGUGUUUCCCCCUCGGCUGAGGCAUUAACAAGCCUAUAAUGGACCCUCUUAAAAAGCCGACUAGGAUCUCCUCCAAAACUAACUGAUUUAGAGUGGCCAGGGCCCCCGUGGGCAGUGGCCAAGUUCCCCCUCUGUCCCUCCCCAGCACAGCCACAGCCAGCCCCGGUGGCAGGCGGCACAGACACACAUUGUGUUUGUCUACUGAACCACAAGCAAUAGCAGUUUAUAACACAAUAAAACACCAUGAGGAGGCAUUAAUUGGAUAUAAUAGCCAGGGAAUGAUUUAGAUGAUUUAACACCUUUUUUCCAAGACGAGUGCAUAAAAGAGAGAGAAAGAGGAAGAAAGGGGAAUUAGAAAUGGACUUACACACUGUUUCUGACUUUGAUUACAAAUGUUAGCCUCAUUUGAGUCCACACACACAAAACAUAAAUGCAGGUUUGAAGACACACAGGAUAUAUUGCAUUGCUGUAUCCUGCUUGUAAAGUCAACUACAAUCAUCAUUAGACUUAUAUGUAUGUACGCUUUUGUGACAUAAAGUCGCUGCAGAAGAAAAUCCAGAAAUAAUCCAAGUGUACGCCUCACAUUUCCUGUAUUUUGUUAACCCCCCUCAAACUGGUGACAGUAAUCAGGCCAUCCCAGAUAAAGCUGAUGCUUAUAAGAUAUGACAGGCUAGCUAGUAGAAAAAAACGCACCCACACGACCUCUCUAUCAUUAAUCAAUGUUUCAAAGGCGGUGUUUUAUUGACAAUAUAACCAUCAGGAAAAUAACAGACUCCAGUUUCUUGCAGCAAAUUAUCCUCAAGUCCCGCUUGCAAAACCGUCAAGAUAUUCUGUCACCUUAUCUCUCCUCACCUCCCCGUCUUUUCUCUCCACGCCCGAGCUGAAAGGGAGCAGGGCCUUGCAUGUAUGUACAUAAUUGGCACUUUACUGUCAUAUCAAAUUCAUAUCAGCUCAGGGUCCUGGGCUAGGAGGAACAAUGAGGGCCAGAGACAAAAGCGUGGCUCCCGUGCUCUGAGAGUCGGCCCUGAUAACCGCAGCAUAGGCCGGUCAAUAAAACCAAUCAUCUCUAAUCUUCUUAUGGGGGACUAAACAGUUCCCCCAGAUACUUCCAAAUGCCCACUAGACACAAUGUGCAACCACACUAUACCAAUAUACAGACUGUAGCGACGGGAGGAAAACAAUAUCUGAACCAUAACCUUUGUGCACGGUCUCAUCAACCUUAUGUCCCGAUACAUAAUUAUUCUCUAGACAUACAAAGUAUUUCAAAAUAUGAAAUAGAGGUUUCAAGAUUUAAAGCAACAUCUUUAUAAAGGAUGUCUGUUUAAUAUUGGGUGAGACAUGGGGAUAUUUUGAAGAUGCUGGUUGGAUGUAAAAGAAAUAAAUGAGUUUUAAACUUCUGUGGUGUUUUGCAUUGUGUGAGUGUUAAAGAGACUUUAUGACCAUGAAUUACCCUCCUUGAAAAGCAGAAGUGUCCCCACAUUUUCUGCAGGCUCUCAC